rnacentral:rRNA from 1 species
UGCAUGUCUAAGUACAUGCCGUAUUAAGGCGAAACCGCGAAUGGCUCAUUAAAUCAGUCAUGGUUCCUUGGAUCGUACCUUACUACUUGGAUAACUGUGGCAAUUCUAGAGCUAAUACAUGCAGCAGAGCUCCGACCUUCGGGGACGAGCGCUUUUAUUAGACCAAAACCAAUCGGACCUCGUGUCCGUCCUUUGUGGUGACUCUGUAUAACUUUGGGCUGAUCGCACGGGCCUGUCCCGGCGACGUAUCUUUCAAGUGUCUGCCUUAUCAACUUUCGAUGGUAGGUUACGCGCCUACCAUGGUCGUAACGGGUAACGGGGAAUCAGGGUUCGAUUCCGGAGAGGGAGCCUGAGAAACGGCUACCACAUCCAAGGAAGGCCGCGCAAAUUACCCACUCCCAGAACGGGGAGGUAGUGACGAAAAAUAACAAUACGGGACUCUUUUGAGACCCCGUAAUUGGAAUGAGUACACUCUAAAUCCUUUAACGAGGAUCCAUUGGAGGGUAAGUCUGGUGCCAGCAACCGCGGUAAUUCCAGCUCCAAUAGCGUAUAUUAAAGUUGUUGCGGUUAAAAAGCUCGUAGUUGGAUCUCAGUUCCAGACGGGUGGUCCGCCUACCGGUGGUUACUGCCUGUUCUGAACAGUCAGCCGGUUUCUCUUGAUGAUCUUCACCGGUUGUCUUGGGUGACCGGCAAGUUUACUUUGAAAAAAUUAGAGUGCUCAAAGCAGGCGUGACGCCUGAAUAAUGGUGCAUGGAAUAAUGGAAUAGGACCUCGGUUCUAUUUUGUUGGUUUUCGGAACACGAGGUAAUGAUUAAGAGGGACAGACGGGGGCAUUCGUAUUGCGACGCUAGAGGUGAAA